UACAGAGGUCUCGAGCGUUAGGCGGAAUCACUGGGCUUAAAGCGUGUGUAGGCGGAUCGGUAAGUACCUUGUGAAAUCCCACAGCUUAAACUCGUGGAACUGCUUGGUAUACUGCCAGUCUUGAGCCACUUAGGGGCUCACCGGAACAAAUGGUGGAGGCGGUGAAAUGCGAUAGAUAUCAAUUUGGAACGCCAAUGGUGAAAACAGGUAGCUGGGAGUGAUGCUGACGCUGGAGACACGAAGCCAGGGGAGCAAACGGGA
rnacentral:rRNA from 1 species